AACGAACGCUGGCGGCGCGUUUUAAGCAUGCAAGUCGAACGGUAGGAAAGUGCUUGCACUUUCUGAGAGUGGCGGACGGGUGAGUAACACGUAGAUAAUCUGCCUUUGGAUUGGGGAUAGCAUAUGGAAACAUGUGGUAAUACUGAAUAAGUUCCUGUGGACAAAAGUUUACAGGAGGAAAGGUGCUUAGGCACCGUCCGAAGAUGAGUCUGCGGUUCAUUAGCUAGUUGGUGGGGUAAAGGCCUACCAAGGCGACGAUGAAUAGCCGGCCUGAGAGGGUGGACGGCCACACUGGGACUGAGACACGGCCCAGACUCCUACGGGAGGCAGCAGCUAAGAAUCUUCCGCAAUGGGGGCAACCCUGACGGAGCGACGCCGCGUGAACGAUGAAGGCGGAAACGUUGUAAAGUUCUUUUCUUGGGGAGGAAUAAGUCUGGUAGGUAAUGACCGGAUGAUGACGUUAACCAAGGAAUAAGCCCCGGCUAAUUACGUGCCAGCAGCCGCGGUAACACGUAAGGGGCAAGCGUUGUUCGGAAUUAUUGGGCGUAAAGGGCGCGUAGGCGGUUUUACAAGUCUGGUGUGAAAGAUCUCAGCUUAACUGAGGGAGCGCGCUGGAAACUGUAAGACUAGAACCUAGGAGGGGAAGCUGGAAUUCCUGGUGUAGGGGUGAAAUCUGUAGAUAUCAGGGAGAACACCGGUGGCGAAGGCGAGCUUCUGGCCAUAGAUUGACGCUGAGGCGCGAAAGCGUGGGGAGCGAACAGGAUUAGAUACCCUGGUAGUCCACGCUGUAAACGAUGUGCACUAGGUGUUGGGCCUUAAGGCUCAGUGCCGUAGCUAACGCGUUAAGUGCACCGCCUGGGGAGUAUGCCCGCAAGGGUGAAACUCAAAGGAAUUGACGG
rnacentral:rRNA from 1 species